rnacentral:misc_RNA from 1 species
CAAUGGGUUGAUCAACAUCAACAGGAGAAGCAAAAUCCUUCUUAUGACUGCCAGGAGGAGGCAUAAGAUCAUAGUCUCUGUCACGUUCUCGGUCCCAAUCCCAGUCUCUGUACUCAAACUUCUUUGAUUGAGGUGUUACAUACGGUGCUUUGCGCUUCUCAGUCUUAAGGACCAAAGGUAAUGGAGGAAGGAUAGGAGGUUCAUCUGCAGGAAGCUUUCCCUCUUGCUUAAGAUCUUCAGCGAAGUUGGCAAGAUCUUCAUCUAAGCGCUUGAUGUGGCUAUCUAUAAUAUCAUGAGCUUGUCGAGCAAGUAAAACCUUUUCAGUGCAAAGGCUUAAGGCAUUGUCCUGGUUUCCUUCAAUCUCCUUCCUCAACUUCUCAAAAGCCUCAUCAUCAUCAUAAUUGUAUUUCCUUGAUCCCUGGCUCUGAGACGCUAACCCUAGGCAGUAAUUGGUCUGCUGCCUAGUCUGAUUUAUUAUUCCUUGUGAACGCUCAUCGAGCUCUCUUAUGGUGUUAAGAAGCCUCUGAAGCUCAGCAGGCAAAGUGCUCGAAUAUUCCAAGUAAUCAUCGACGAAGACUCCGGUUCUGGCGAUCGCCAUUGUUGUCGGAAAUUGAAUUUCGAUCUAGG